rnacentral:rRNA from 1 species
UAUCUCUGUAGAGUCUGCAUAUCAAUAAGCGGAGGAAAAGAAACUAACAAGGAUUCCCUAGUAACGGCGAGUGAAGCGGGAAGAGCUCAAAUUUGAAAUCUUCAAGGUUCUACCUUGACGAAUUGUAGUUUAAAGAAGUGUUUUCUGUUAGAUGAGUAGCAAAAGUUCCUUGGAAUAGGACAUCAUAGAGGGUGAGAAUCCCGUAUUUGACUAUUCUUUCUAGCUUUGUGAUACACUUUCAAAGAGUCGGAUUGUUUGGGAAUGCAGUCCAAAAUGGGUGGUAAAUUUCAUCUAAAGCUAAAUAUUGGCGAGAGACCGAUAGCGAACAAGUACCGUGAGGGAAAGAUGAAAAGAACUUUGAAGAGAGAGUUAAACAGUACGUGAAAUUGUCAAAAGGGAAGCGUUUGACACCAGUGUUGUUUUUCCGAAAAUCAAUUAAAAAUUGAUUCAUGCCAGGUUGUAUUGACCUUAUCAGCUUGCAAUUUGGUUUUGGGUCUCUUUUUGAUGCACUUUUCGGUUAACAAGUCAACAUCAAUUUCCUUUGCUGUAAAAAGGUAAGAGGAAGGUGGCUUCAAUUUCGGUUGAAGUGUUUAUAGCCUUUUAUCUCUGCAGUCGGGGAGAUUGAGGUCUGCAGCGUAGAUCCUUCGGGGCUAGAUACAUUUAUGCUAAGUUAUAGCUUUUCAUAGACAACUUGUUGACUAUGUUUAGUCAUGUAGCUUACUCGUAAGUGCUAUUUUACCUACGCUUAGGAUGUUGAAGACUCUACAGAGAUA